AUUCAUCCAUCGGCCACACGCGGCUCUUUCACGGGGUGGUUUCCGCGCGCGCGGAAUCCAUCCCUCCUCGUCGUUGACGGCGCGGACGCGACGCGACGCGACGCGGCCGCGUGUUCGGUGUCAACGUGCCAUAUUCGAACGCGCGACGGCUUAAAAAACACACGAAAAUGUUGGAGUGCGCGUAACGAGGCACGAUAUAUUUAGACGGCGAGCAUCGUCGCCAGUGGCGCUUGUCGCUUAUAAGCUCUGUGACAUAGUUACCGCUGAACUGCAAUUAACGACGCCUACUGACCGUCCCGACGUUUCGGCCUCUCGUUUAAUUUUGUGAUUCCACGAAAAACCUCGCGUGCCUUCGCUCUUCUUCCGACCUCCGUUUAAAAGCUCGGCUAUUCCGCGAGAAUUUUCGUCUCCGAAACGUUGGCUAAGCUUUCCGUGUUCAGAAUUCGUCGAUCACUCGGCUAAUUUACACAAUAAUCAUCGGUCAGCUUAUCGAACUUCAACAGACUCCGUUCUCUGUGAAGCUGACUUCAUUUCUCUGGAAUAAUUAAUAAUUACCUUAGGCAAUUAUUUCCAUCCAGCCAUUGAUUGCUCUCGAAUUCUGACAAACGUUUCGGAAACGUUCGAUAUUCUAGACGAUUUUCAAGAAUUAUUUAGCUGGCGUGUAAGCGUACAGACUCUGAGAUUACUGUGAACUCUUUUUUCGGGCUCAACGGUACAAACGAGUUACUGGAUGGAGUUCUGUAUAUUUUUGCAGGAUUUGGAAGAGGAGCUCUCACUCGGGAAAAAUGUUUCUCGUUUCAUGCCGGGGGAAGAGUUAGCGAGCGUUAAAGAGGAACAAAGCGGACGUCCGUGCGUCGAGCGUUAAAGGAGGAGGAACUUACCUAAAAUUGCAAUUACACACGGCUUGUUACCUGGAACAGAAGUUUGACAACCGUGCUUUUCCGAACGAACGUCGCGGCAUGCACUCUAAUUCCGAACGCCACUUCCCGAGUGGAUUUUCACUGCGCACACGCGGCCCUCCCUUCCAAACCUCUUGGAUUCAUUUGUACACCGUAAUAUGGCGGGCACCCCGGACUCGGGUCCCGACUUAUUGUUAGACCCGCCAUCGGAGCUUUUCCGACGACACGCGGAUCGUCCGAAGGUUUCAGACUCGUUCUACACGCAGAACUCAGAUUAGAAAAAUUUAUGGAAACGGCAGUGCAGUUAACGGCACGCUGUAAAGUGUAGUUAUUUUCCCGGUAAAGGCGCGGUACACGACAAGAACGCGACGUAAAACCAAGAUGGACGACUAUUACUUUUGACACUAUGUUCAGCUUAUUCGCAGAAUAAACUUACUUUUUAGGUACGUUUCUUCUCGUAACAGUUUCAAGGAGCUAUCUUUUGCUUUAGCUCUCUCUCCUUCUCUAUCUCUCUCUCUUCUCCACCCUCCCUCCCUUCUCACUCUCUCUUUCUCUCUCUCGUUUCGGCUUUUGUUACAAUUCUUCCUUCAAACAUUCGUGUUUGGAACUGCGAAAUCUUGGCGAAAGCAGAAGCAGCGAAGUACUUUGACGUACUAUAAUUGUUUUCAUUUGAAGUAAAAUGUUUGCAGCACUGUAAAUUCUCACGUAACAGAGUAGAACUUCAUUUAUAUGAGCGAGGCGGGAGAUGAUCAGGUUCACAUAGUAGGAGCCCGCUGAUUAUUCUCACUAAUCGUAACUUUUCGUUCAUACAACUGGAAUUCGCGUCCAGCAGUGGAAAAAGUAUCUAUUUGCCUAAUGAUCUGCAGUCUAACUCUUUAAUUGAAUUUCUUCUUCGCCUCAACGUAAAUUCGAAAAACUUACUAACCGAGAAAUAUUGCUUAAACCCUAACUUGACGAUAAAUAAAUUAUAUCCGAAGACAACGAAUGGGAACCGAUGCAUCUGCGUAGGUGACAAGCCGCGCGGUGUUUCUCCGCAUGUAAAUCCGCAAACGCAGAUACGAGCACACAGGAGAAGAAAGCAUCGGGAAACGCGAGGAGAUCGGACAAAGUAAAUUAAAUGGUUACCGUUCGAGGUUCAAAGAGAAGGCGAGAGGCGUGGAAGUUGGAUACAUUAGUGAAUUAGUUACGUUAGCGGUUUGGGAUUUAGUUCUCUAAUCAAGAGAACGAAGAGUGAAGGCUGCGGCAAUUGAUGUAAAAGUAGAACUUCCCGGGGACCAAUUACGUGGCCGUGACGGAGCUAGAAGUUCUCUGUCGUAAUCAACGAGGGGAUUAUGGCCGCGCGUUAAGUAUAUUACGCCUGGAAUAAUUUUCUGUUUGAACGAAAGAACCCGACAGCUGGCAAUUAAUCACAGAAACGCGUAGAAAGCGUUUGUGAACCUGCCACGAAUAAAUCCCGAGGGCUUUUCAUGAGACCGGAGAUCUAACGGAUGGUUUCCCUGCUUAAAGCAUUAACAAAAUAAGACGUAAAUUCCCGGAAAUGCCAUAAAUGAGGCAUUGUUUGUUUUCUAAGAAUAGCUCUAUUGUGAUAGACCGUUGCUAAAUUUCAUUCCAAUACCUUGAAAAACGUGCUUGUUAUUUCUCGUAUUAUUGGAAAUGAUUUACGAUUCAUUAAUAAAUGUAGACGUACUAACCAAUUUUUCUGUUAUGCAACGGUACGACAUUCAUUGAAAGCAGUUCUUAAACCGUAGUAGAAUAGUAAAUAAAAUUGGUAUCGGAUAUUUCUAUUGAGCGAUAUACAUCAAUUAUUCUAGAACUAUAACUAAAUGUUCAAAUUGUUUCACUUUGACUGUCAAAAGAAACUAUAUGUCAUUCGAUUUUUUUGUAUUAAAAAUUCUUGUGUACGCACAGAAAAUAAAUUAUAAUGUCGAGUUAAAUAAAGA